rnacentral:rRNA from 1 species
UACGUAGGGUGCAAGCGUUGUCCGGAAUUAUUGGGCGUAAAGAGCUCGUAGGCGGUUUGUCGCGUCUGCUGUGAAAUCCCGAGGCUCAACCUCGGGCUUGCAGUGGGUACGGGCAGACUAGAGUGCGGUAGGGGAGAUUGGAAUUCCUGGUGUAGCGGUGGAAUGCGCAGAUAUCAGGAGGAACACCGGUGGCGAAGGCGGGUCUCUGGGCCGAUAUUGACGCUGAGGAGCGAAAGCGUGGGGAGCGAACAGG